rnacentral:rRNA from 1 species
GAUGAACGCUGGCGGCGUGCCUAAUACAUGCAAGUCGAGCGAACGGACGAGAAGCUUGCUUCUCUGAUGUUAGCGGCGGACGGGUGAGUAACACGUGGAUAACCUACCUAUAAGACUGGGAUAACUUCGGGAAACCGGAGCUAAUACCGGAUAAUAUUUUGAACCGCAUGGUUCAAAAGUGAAAGACGGUCUUGCUGUCACUUAUAGAUGGAUCCGCGCUGCAUUAGCUAGUUGGUAAGGUAACGGCUUACCAAGGCAACGAUGCAUAGCCGACCUGAGAGGGUGAUCGGCCACACUGGAACUGAGACACGGUCCAGACUCCUACGGGAGGCAGCAGUAGGGAAUCUUCCGCAAUGGGCGAGAGCCUGACGGAGCAACGCCGCGUGAGUGAUGAAGGUCUUCGGAUCGUAAAACUCUGUUAUUAGGGAAGAACAUAUGUGUAAGUAACUGUGCACAUCUUGACGGUACCUAAUCAGAAAGCCACGGCUAACUACGUGCCAGCAGCCGCGGUAAUACGUAGGUGGCAAGCGUUAUCCGGAAUUAUUGGGCGUAAAGCGCGCGUAGGCGGUUUUUUAAGUCUGAUGUGAAAGCCCACGGCUCAACCGUGGAGGGUCAUUGGAAACUGGAAAACUUGAGUGCAGAAGAGGAAAGUGGAAUUCCAUGUGUAGCGGUGAAAUGCGCAGAGAUAUGGAGGAACACCAGUGGCGAAGGCGACUUUCUGGUCUGUAACUGACGCUGAUGUGCGAAAGCGUGGGGAUCAAACAGGAUUAGAUACCCUGGUAGUCCACGCCGUAAACGAUGAGUGCUAAGUGUUAGGGGGUUUCCGCCCCUUAGUGCUGCAGCUAACGCAUUAAGCACUCCGCCUGGGGGGUACGACCGCAAGGUUGAAACUCAAAGGAAUUGACGGGGACCCGCACAAGCGGUGGAGCAUGUGGUUUAAUUCGAAGCAACGCGAAGAACCUUACCAAAUCUUGACAUCCUUUGACAACUCUAGAGAUAGAGCUUUCCCCUUCGGGGGACAAAGUGACAGGUGGUGCAUGGUUGUCGUCAGCUCGUGUCGUGAGAUGUUGGGUUAAGUCCCGCAACGAGCGCAACCCUUAAGCUUAGUUGCCAUCAUUAAGUUGGGCACUCUAAGUUGACUGCCGGUGACAAACCGGAGGAAGGUGGGGAUGACGUCAAAUCAUCAUGCCCCUUAUGAUUUGGGCUACACACGUGCUACAAUGGACAAUACAAAGGGCAGCGAAACCGCGAGGUCAAGCAAAUCCCAUAAAGUUGUUCUCAGUUCGGAUUGUAGUCUGCAACUCGACUACAUGAAGCUGGAAUCGCUAGUAAUCGUAGAUCAGCAUGCUACGGUGAAUACGUUCCCGGGUCU